rnacentral:tRNA from 1 species
UGGAGAUGCAGCUCAGUGGUGGAGCACUUGUCUAGAAGGUGUGAGGCCCUGGGUUCAAUCCCCAGUACUGCAA